rnacentral:lncRNA from 10 species
GUUUUUCAUAAAACUUUCCCAUUUAAUUGAAUGUGGUAGGAAAUUUGCAAUUUUUAAUGAGUAUUCAUAAUGUACACUCAAGAAUAAAUAGCCACACCACUGUAGAGCUAUCUUUCUCUUUUCCUUUCUCCACUGGCGCUUUGAAAACUUGCUGGAAGUGCUGAGGUUAAUUCAGCAUAUUACUAUCUGCCCUUCCCUUCUCCUACCCUAUCUAGUUUCCUUCAUUCCUGGUCUCCAAAUUUCAUAUGAUAUCAGUGCUUGUCUGGUAACGGUCGGGGAUGGGGUCAGGAUAGGUGGUAAUGUAGGUAUUGGCAUGGAAAUAUAGCAGGGAGAUUUGGAAUCUAUAUAUCACAGAUAGCAAGAAGCAUAGCACAAGAAGCAGGAAUGAAUUGGAAUGAAAAUGAGAGAAAGAGAAAACAAUGGGUCAUGCUGUUACUCCUGACUAACAAAACCUCUCUGUGGUUCCGUGCUUCUUUUCCCAUUCCUCAGAACUCUUCUUCCUCUCAAACCACCUCUCUCAUCCAACCUCGUCUUAAUUAUUUUCCUUUCACCAGCUGUCAGUUUACAGAUUAUUCUUAGAACAGUGGUUCUCAAACUUUGGAUUUCAGGACCAUUUCAUGCUCUUUAAAAUUACUGAAAGAAUCCCAAAGAGCUUUUGUUUUUGUGAGUUACACAGGAGCUCUUUGUCACCAUCAUAUUGAACUUGUUUGGUCUCAGUAUGGAAUUCACAAGUUAUCAUGUCAGGUCAGUCGAGUGAUUCUUUUUGUUUUCUUUGUGUUUUUGUUGCUCUAACUGGAGUGGGACCAUAUGAUGCAGUGUGGAUAGCUGCAUACAAGCAUUAAGACUCUUGAGAAAAUACAGUGCACCAGGAAAACUACUAUGAAAACUAUCAGAGAAUAAUGGCAAAAGACUGAAUAAAGUGCACUCCUAAUAGGAACUCUCCUGAACUGAACAAAUUAAAAUCAGACAAAUUUUUAAAAUAAGUCAGAAGAUGAAUCUACUUGUUUUAACCAAGUAGCUUGUUUGUUGAUUUCUUAAAAUGGAGCUGCUGUCAUACCAGACACAUGUAUCCAAGUGCAGCAAGAGAUCUUAGCCAUCACUCCCCAUCUUCUGCCAGC